rnacentral:rRNA from 1 species
GACAGAGGGUGCAAGCGUUGUUCGGAAUUACUGGGCGUAAAGCGCGUGUAGGCUGCUCGGUAAGUCGGAUGUGAAAGCCCUGGGCUCAACCCAGGAAGUGCACUCGAAACUCCCGAGCUGGAGUCCCGGAGAGGAAGGCGGAAUUCUCGGUGUAGAGGUGAAAUUCGUAGAUAUCGAGAGGAACAUCGGUGGCGAAGGCGGCCUUCUGGACGGUGACUGACGCUGAGACGCGAAAGCGUGGGGAGCAAACAGG